UUUUAGAUUUUUUGUUUACUACAAUACUAAUUAUUUUUGGAUGCAUGGCAUACCUUCUUGGUUUUGGAUUAAGCAUUCUAAAUUAUUUGCACGUUGUUCGAAACCACAAAUUCUCUGCUUAUAUGCACCAAACUUCAGUUUUAUGCCAGACUGCAGGAUUGUGUGUGUUUACAAGAGAUGUAUGGAAUUAUUCCACUAAAUUUGCAUAUUCAUACUAUUUCGGAUGGCUUUCAGUAUUUUUUUCGAUUUUGUCUGCAAUUCUGCGAUUCUACUUGACAAAAUCGGAAUUUCAGUCCAUAUAGUUUGUUUAAAAAAAGUAAAUGUUUGUAGUUUCUUUUUUAUAUUAUUUAAAAAAAGUUGAUUUU